AUGUCUUCCUCCUCCGGCGCUUCCCUCCCGACUAAUCUCAAUGGCCAGGUCACCGAGAAGCUAUCCCGCACGAACUACGUGAUGUGGCGCACGCAGAUGAUCCCUCAACUGCGCGGCGCCGGGGUCUUCGGCUACGUCGAUGGCACCCAGCCGGAACCGGCGAAGCUGCUCGUCACCACCGACAAGGAAGGCAAGCAGACUUCAACGCCCAACCCUCUCCACCCAAUCUGGGUCCGGGAGGACCAGCAGGUCCUUGGCUACCUGUUGAGCAACCUCACAAAGGAGGUGCUCCUCACGGUGACCACGGUC
rnacentral:rRNA from 1 species